GACAGAGGAUGCAAGCGUUAUCCGGAAUGAUUGGGCGUAAAGCGUCUGUAGGUGGCUUUUCAAGUCCGCCGUCAAAUCCCAGGGCUCAACCCUGGACAGGCGGUGGAAACUACCAAGCUGGAGUACGGUAGGGGCAGAGGGAAUUUCCGGUGGAGCGGUGAAAUGCGCAGAUAUCGGGAGGAACACCAGUAGCGAAGGCGGCCUGCUGGGCAGUUGCUGACACUGAGGCGCGACAGCGUGGGGAGCAAACAGG
rnacentral:rRNA from 1 species